rnacentral:rRNA from 1 species
GAUGAACGCUAGCUACAGGCUUAACACAUGCAAGUCGAGGGGUAGCAGGGUAGCAAUACCACUGACGACCGGCGCACGGGUGAGUAACACGUAUCCAACCUUCCCAUAACUCAGGGAUAGCCUUUCGAAAGAAAGAUUAAUACCUGAUAGUACUUAUAUAAGGCAUCUUAUUUAAGUUAAAGAUUUAUUGGUUAUGGAUGGGGAUGCGUUCCAUUAGAUAGUUGGUGAGGUAACGGCUCACCAAGUCUUCGAUGGAUAGGGGUUCUGAGAGGAAGGUCCCCCACAUUGGUACUGAGACACGGACCAAACUCCUACGGGAGGCAGCAGUGAGGAAUAUUGGUCAAUGGGCGAGAGCCUGAACCAGCCAAGUAGCGUGAAGGAUGAAGGUCCUAUGGAUUGUAAACUUCUUUUAUAGUAGAAUAAAGUUAGCCACGUGUGGUUAUUUGUAUGUAUACUAUGAAUAAGGAUCGGCUAACUCCGUGCCAGCCGCCGCCGUAAUAC